rnacentral:rRNA from 1 species
AUAUGAAGUCUGGCCUGCCCAGUGAAUUUUUUAACGGCCGCGGUACUCUGACCGUGCAAAGGUAGCAUAAUCAUUUGCCUUAUAAUUGAAGGCUGGAAUGAAUGGUUUGACAAGAAUAUAACUGUCUCUUUAUGAUUGAAUAGAAUUUUAUUUUAGAAUGAAAAAGUUCUAAUUUAAUUAAAAGACAAGAAGACCCUAUCGAGCUUGAAAUAAAUUGGUAAAAUAAUAUAUUAAUAGGACUAAAAAAUUAAUUACUAAAGAUUUUGGUUGGGGCAACCGAGGAGUAAAAAAAGCCUCCUUUAUAAACUUAAACAGUAUUGGUAUUGAUCCAGAAUUUUUGAUUAAAAGAAAUAGUUACCGUAGGGAUAACAGCAUUAUCUUUUUUGAGAGCCCUUAUCGAAAAAAAGGUUUGUGACCUCGAUGUUGGACCAGAAUGUCCUAAAGAUGCAGAAGUCUUUAAAGGUUGGUCUGUUCGACCAUUAAAAUUCUA